AGAAUUGCUAGCUUGCUAAUAAUUCUCUAGUGGCGCACGGGUGAGUAACACGUGAGUAACCUGCCCCCGAGAGCGGGAUAGCCCUGGGAAACUGGGAUUAAUACCGCAUAGUAUCGAAAGAUUAAAGCAGCAAUGCGCUUGGGGAUGGGCUCGCGGCCUAUUAGUUAGUUGGUGAGGUAACGGCUCACCAAGGCGAUGACGGGUAGCCGGUCUGAGAGGAUGUCCGGCCACACUGGAACUGAGACACGGUCCAGACACCUACGGGUGGCAGCAGUCGAGAAUCAUUCACAAUGGGGGAAACCCUGAUGGUGCGACGCCGCGUGGGGGAAUGAAGGUCUUCGGAUUGUAAACCCCUGUCAUGUGGGAGCAAAUUAAAAAGAUAGUACCACAAGAGGAAGAGACGGCUAACUCUGUGCCAGCAGCCGCGGUAAUACAGAGGUCUCAAGCGUUGUUCGGAAUCACUGGGCGUAAAGCGUGCGUAGGCUGUUUCGUAAGUCGUGUGUGAAAGGCGCGGGCUCAACCCGCGGACGGCACAUGAUACUGCGAGACUAGAGUAAUGGAGGGGGAACCGGAAUUCUCGGUGUAGCAGUGAAAUGCGUAGAUAUCGAGAGGAACACUCGUGGCGAAGGCGGGUUCCUGGACAUUAACUGACGCUGAGGCACGAAGGCCAGGGGAGCGAAAGGGAUUAGAUACCCCUGUAGUCCUGGCAGUAAACGGUGCACGCUUGGUGUGCGGGGAAUCGACCCCCUGCGUGCCGGAGCUAACGCGUUAAGCGUGCCGCCUGGGGAGUACGGUCGCAAGAUUAAAACUCAAAGAAAUUGACGGGGACCCGCACAAGCGGUGGAGUAUGUGGCUUAAUUCGAUGCAACGCGAAGAACCUUACCUGGGCUUGA
rnacentral:rRNA from 1 species